UACGAAGGGGGCUAGCGUUGUUCGGAAUUACUGGGCGUAAAGCGCGUGUAGGCGGGUCCUUAAGUCAGGGGUGAAAUGCCAAGGCUCAACCUUGGAACUGCCUUUGAUACUGGGGAUCUUGAGUUCGGGAGAGGUGAGUGGAACUGCGAGUGUAGAGGUGAAAUUCGUAGAUAUUCGCAAGAACACCAGUGGCGAAGGCGGCUCACUGGCCCGGAACUACUGCGCUGAGACGAC
rnacentral:rRNA from 1 species